rnacentral:lncRNA from 1 species
CCCAGCACUAGAAGUCGGCGGUGUUUCCAUUCGGUGAUCAGCACUGAACACAGAGGACUCACCAUGGAGUUUGGGCUGAGCUGGGUUUUCCUCGUUGCUCUUUUAAGAGGUGUCCAGUGUCAGGUGCGGCUGGUGGAGUCUGGGGGAGGCGUGGUCCAGCCUGGGAGGUCCCUGAGACUCUCCUGUGCAGCCUCUGGAUUCACCUUCAGUAGCUAUGGCAUGCACUGGGUCCGCCAGGCUCCAGG